GAUCAUGGCUCAGGAUAAACGCUAGCGGCAGGCCUAACACAUGCAAGUCGAGGGGCAUCGGAUAGAGUACUUCGGUACUCUUGCCGGCGACCGGCGGACGGGUGCGUAACGCGUAUGCAACCUACCUUCAACAGGGGGGAUAAUCCGAAGAAAUUUGGUCUAAUACCCCAUAAUAUUCCGACAGGCAUCUGUCGGAGUUGAAAGGCUUCGGUGGUUGGAGAUGGGCAUGCGUUGUAUUAGCUAGAUGG
rnacentral:rRNA from 1 species